rnacentral:rRNA from 1 species
UACGAAGGGGGCUAGCGUUGCUCGGAAUUACUGGGCGUAGAGCGCACGUAGGCGGGUUGUUAAGUCGGGGGUGAAAUCCUGGAGCUCAACUCCAGAACUGCCUUCGAAACUGACGAUCUUGAGUUCGGGAGAGGUGAGUGGAACUGCGAGUGUAGAGGUGAAAUUCGUAGAUAUUCGCAAGAACACCAGUGGCGAAGGCGGCUCACUGGCCCGAUACUGACGCUGAGGUGCGAAAGCGUGGGGAGCAAACAGG